CCGUGCCAUUUGCAAGCUUCUUCCUGUGGUUGCUGCUAUCGCCUAUAUCUCGAGGGGUGGUACCUUCUGUUUCGCUGUCUUUUUUUCUUUCUGGCAGCAGCGGCGAUGGUGGCGGGACAACUAAUCAGCUCUUCUGAAAUUUUGGAGAUACUGCAGACACCUUCCGCGCCCAAGCAGGAGUGGGUACAUCAGUGAGCAUGAAAACAGUACAAAGCAUAAAAAUCGGACAGCAGAAGAAUACGGCGAAGGCGUCUCCAAAGACAAAUCGAUUUUUUCCACUCGCUGAGACUACCUACAGCGGGUUUGGCGUCCACGGAACUGCGGCACAGCGAUUACCUGUGUGCCCAGCAAGGCGGCCAAACGCAAAGACUCUCGCCAUGCAAUCAACGUGACUCGCAGGAGCGCGGAUUACGUCGUCUCCCGCAGCGGCCUACUUUUCGUACCACAAUCACCAGAUCUUCUUCGCCCUCUUGCCCAUGGCCAGGGAAACCUCGGCCGCCUCCUAUAAGAAUGGUCUCGACAUCGUUCUCGCUCGUGGAGUUGUCGGCCCCUGUGGUGGUGGCGGUCGCCUCUGGCUGCAAUUGUUAAGCGUAUGCUGUGAAGCACCGCAGGCAGCAGCAGCGGUAGUGCAAGGACGCGUCCCUUGUCUGCUCCACGUUUUCCAGAGUGAAGCCGAGAAGUGAUGCCCGUUGCUUCAAGCUGCUCAAGAUACGUCACUCUUGUCAUGCGGUCUUCGCAUCGCCCAUGGAUGGUGAACUGCUGCUGUGCCGACGCCUUCGUUGUUCAGUUUGACUGGUUCAAGAGCGAACCUUUGAACAGCAGCCAGGCAGGAGAUUUCUUUUUCUGCACGUUCUUGGCACUUUCAGUGUGAAGCCGAAAAGUGAUGCCUGUUGCUUCAAGCUGCUCGUGAUAGCCGCCACUGUGCUCACGCAAGUCAUCGCAUCGCCUUCGGUUUAUGCGCGCUGUGAGCUGGGCAUCUUGGCGGCAGCGGCGUUGGUGCGAGGACGCGCCCCUUACUUGUCUGCUCCACGUUUUCCAGGUUGGUUGGUUAGCUUUUUACAAUUAUACUACAGUAGUUCCUGUGUCAACGCCGCUACCACUGCCCCUGCUUGUAUGGCUUAUGUGUGUGAUAUCUCAUUGUCUAGCCCAGUGCCUGCAAUGGAAGAAAACUGCGAGGCUUGUAACAGACCCCUACCGGCAAACGGCCCCUUCUUGCAGUGCAGCGAAUGUGAGCGUCUUUAUAGUUUUGGUGACCCCUCCAGCUGGUUCAAAUUGAUAUUUGACUGUGAGGACGAGUCGGGGCAUAAACACGGCAAUGCCAUGCUUGUCGUCUGUAAGAAAACAAAGCCAAUUACGUGUUCCCCUUUCGUCCUACCGUCCUACCCUUCGUCCUACCCUUUAGUCCGAACUUACAACUCUUCUUGCAGAAAUAACGAAGCGGCUUGAUGUCCUUGCUGGCUUGCCCUCUCAGGUUGACGAGAUAGAAAAGUCCUAUUGAAGUGCUGUCAAACAAAUAUGAGAAAAUUCUUGACACACAUUCAAAGCAAGGUAGGCAAAUUGGCUGCCUAAAGAAGAGCGUUGCUCAGCUUGAAGACGGUAGCGUCGCCAACGACGUACAGUGUCUCAAGCAAGACGAGCUUGAAUGGCGUAGCAGACAAUAUAAUAUUGAAAUUCAUGGCAUCCCCCAAACAUAGAAUGAAAAUUUAAUAACAAAGCUCAAUGACGUGACAAAAGCAGUCACACUGAAUGUAUUGUACUUCAACGAUAUUGAGGCAGUUCAGAAAGUGCCCUUGAGAUCGGGCCGCGACCCCGGAAUCAUUCUGAGAUUUCCUGGCAAUGCAUUCGCGAUGCGUGGCUCUCCAAGCUCAAACAUUCAAAAGCAAACAAGUCAUCUGUCAAAAUGAGUGAAAACAUGACAAAGAGAAACAGGGAACUUCCACACACGCGUCAAUGGGCAGCUGAAAACAGCUAUCGAUUUCAGUAGCAUGCCAACAACAGGAUCUUCGUUCGAAGGGCGGAAAAUGAGUGAGCUGUUGAAAUUCAUUCUCGGAGCGAUCUUCAGAAAUUGUGCGCUAGUUAGUGAAUUUCUUUUUUUAAUCUUCUUCCUCGUGCUUUUCGCAACGCAUUACAUAACUCAAAUUUGGGUAGUAGUAUUCUUGCUAAGAACGCACAGUAUACUGUUGUGUACACUUCAACUUGGUCUGGAAUAAACAAAUACGAUCACUUCGAGUGUUUUUGAACCAAGUGAGAACUAAAAUUGAAAUUUUACAGUUCUCUGAGGCAUGGUUUACCUGAUACGAAGAGGCGUUUCGUAUAUGUGGUUGCAAUUCUUUCUGCCAGGGUCGUGUGAAAAAAACCUGGUGGUGGCGUGUCAAUGUUGGUUUCAAGUGAUAUCAAUUGUGAAUUGCUCACUGAUUUUUGUCGCGUAAUCCCCCAUUAUGAAGUAGUCUCUUGUAUUCGGUAUGAAUGUUUAUUUGCUACCUCCCACCAUGUAGUGAUGUAUCAAACUUACUUUCCUCCUUGGGCUCUCCUUUAGAAUACGUGAAUGAAUAUGAGUAUCACAUUACUUUAGGUGAUGAGCAAAACGUGAACAAGGUGAAUGCAGGGGCCUACCUGCAUUACCUUAAGUGGGGAUUUAAAGAUCAAUUGCUAGCUGGAAAUGCAAUAAUGACAGAGGUAGAAACUAUAAUGAAUGCUCGUUCCUGCAUUAAUGUGAUAUUAUUCCCAAGAUGACUGAGUGUUAGCUCCGAAACACAUUUAGAGAC